AACGCAAGUUGCGCUCCCAUUUGCGUGGGAGCAUGCCUCUUUGAGUGUCGGUUUCCACACUCCUCCGCCGGUGUGCCGCCAGGCGCGCCGCGCGGGAUUUCGUUGCGCCGUCGCCGAGCGCGUUUUUUGCGCCGGGCGUCGCGUGAAGGCUCGAGACGUGUCCGGCGCCUCGUUCGCAGGCCCUUGCACCGUCCGACGUGGGUAGGUUUGGAGCUCCACGCUCCUGACACGACACGGCGGACCUUUGCGUGCGGGCCUGUACACGACGAGGCGUCCGUUGGACUCCGUGUGCGCUCCCCGUCUGUGAAGCCAGGCGGCCCGAGCGCCGCGCCCCUCCCCCUCCAAGGAGACCGGCGCGAAACGCACCACGACUCGACCUCAAAUGAGGCAAGAGGACCCGCCGAAUUUAA
rnacentral:misc_RNA from 1 species